AACGAACGCUGGCGGCAUGCCUAACACAUGCAAGUCGAACGAGACCUUCGGGGCUAGUGGCGCACGGGUGCGUAACGCGUGGGAAACUGCCCUUAGGUUCGGAAUAACUUCCCGAAAGGGGUGCUAAUACCGGAUAAUGUCUUCGGACCAAAGAUUUAUCGCCUUUGGAUGGGCCCGCGUUGGAUUAGCUAGUUGGUAGGGUAAAAGCCUACCAAGGCGACGAUCCAUAGCUGGUCUGAGAGGAUGAUCAGCCACACUGGGACUGAGACACGGCCCAGACUCCUACGGGAGGCAGCAGUGGGGAAUAUUGGACAAUGGGCGAAAGCCUGAUCCAGCAAUGCCGCGUGAGUGAUGAAGGCCUUAGGGUUGUAAAGCUCUUUUACCCGGGAUGAUAAUGACAGUACCGGGAGAAUAAGCUCCGGCUAACUCCGU
rnacentral:rRNA from 1 species